rnacentral:lncRNA from 1 species
CUCUAGGUAUACAUGGCAAGCAGGGGCCAGAUUAUAUACACUGCCUUAAAGAUUAUGGUCUUUAUCCUCAGUGCAACAAAAUAAAGUCAUUGAAGAGUUUUAAGUAGAGGACUGACAUGAUGACAUGAUGGAGGGGCAGCCUCUAGAAGCAGAGAGUGGCCCCUGGCUGACUGCUGGCAAGGGUACCUCAAUCCUACAACUACAAGGAACUAAAUUCUGCCAACAGCUUGGAUAAGCUUGGAAGAAGAUUUUUCCACAGAUCCUUCAGAUAAGAGUUAGGUUCAGCCUUCUGAAGAAUUUGAGAAUCCAUCAUUGCACUGGAAAAUGGAACAAAAAGUCGACUUCAAAGGACCUUGCCCACAAAAGACACCAGAAUGGCAUGAAAAUGCACCUCACAGACAGAGCACCCAGCUGCUGUGCUUUGAAGUCAGCCACACCUCCCAUUCAUUGCUGUUACCAAUGGACUGACUGAAUGCUGUGGCGAUACUGAGGCCGUCUUAGUCCCGGAAGACAGAGAUUUUCCUUGUGAAAACCUUGGUGGUGAAGGGCAGGAGAAUAUGCUACCCCCAGAAUUCGACUUUGGCAUAAGGAUUAUCUUGAGCUGAAGGGAAUUGAGAAGAAGCACAAACAAGAAAAGCUGUCUGCCCUCUCCCUAUUUGCCUAAAAUCAGGAAAUAAAUAUACAAAGAUGUACCUCUUUACCUCUCUACCAGGAAUGACAAAGUUUGAUCAGUGGAGAUGACUUUAGACCCUUAUCAGCCUGGAGAUGGCACAAGAGAAAUCUAUACAGCAAACUUUACCAACUGUUCUACCUACUAUUGGUUUCCCAUAUAAUUGCUUUUCCACAAUAUGCCACAUCUAGACACUCAAAGUCCUUUUCCUUUUUCUUGUCACUUCUCUGAAAUUGUAUUGUACUUUGUUGAAGAUGCUAUAUAAGCUGAAGUUCUAAGCCAUCUUUUUGAGAGUUACUCUUUCCUUUAGUUCUCUCUCAUGUAUAUAUGAAAUAUACAUGUUAGUGAACUUGUUUGUUUUUCUCUUGUUAAUCUGUCUUUUGUUGCAGGAGGUCCAGCUAAGGACUCUGAAGAGUAAAGGAGAAAUUGUUUUCUCCUCUCCUACAGUGGAUUUUGUCUUUUUAGUGCAGAAAGUUGCAUUAAAGAUGGCAACAACAGUCACUCAAGAUGGUUUCUAUCCACAGAUAAUUUCAUUGAUUGGAGCAAAGUUUUUCCAAGGAUCAUUGUUAUGAGCUGAACUAUGUUCCCCUCAAAUUUAUACGUGGAAAUCCUAACCCCUAGUACUUCAAAAUGUGACUAUAUUUGGAGACAAGCUUUUCAAAGAGAGAAUUAAGGCAAAGUAAGGUCAUCAGAAUGGACUCUAAUCUCACAUAACUGGUGUCCUUAUAAGAAGAGGAGAUUAAGACACAGAUAUACAUAGAAGAAGACCAUGUAAAGACAUGGGAAGAAGAUAGUCAUUUACAAGCCAAGAGGAAGAGCCUUCAGAAGGAACCCUGUCAACACCUCUGUCUUAGACUUGUAGUCUCCAGAACUGUGAGGAAAUAAAUUUCUGUUGCUUAAGCCACCCAGUUUGUAGUACUUAGGUAUGGCAGCCCUCGCUAGCAAGCUUACAUCAAAAUGACACAUGAGGCUUGUGAAAAAUGACAGAUCUAUGCAUGAUUGAAAAAAGAAAGGAAAAUAUUAAAGAAUCUGUCUCUACUUCUAGUUUCUUCUGAGAAAAGUUAGGAUACAAUUUCUGUCAAAGGAUGGUACUGACCUUGUGUAAUUUUCAUUCUUCAGGAACUAUAAUCACAUUACCAUGUCAGCAAACCACACAGAUUUUUAUUUUGUCUAAAAAAGCAUGAUUUCCACUCUUUGGAAUAAUACUGUUAACUAUACACGAAGAUAAAUAUAAAAGACAGCGCCACAUUGACUGUGGAUUCUGAAAUUCCCUUUAUUACAUUUAUUCUUGGAUUCUCAGACCAAACCCUGGGACUCAGACCAAAGAAAUUUUGGUUUAAUAUGAAGAUUUCUUAAAGCUCUGACCUGACAGUCUUAUAAUUAUAUUUUCUUCUUGUGUAUAUCCCUAGAUAUACAAACAGAACAUCUUAAAACUGCCUGAUCCAACAAAUAUUAUUAGUUGAUUAUUCAAGGCAUGAUGAUUCCAUUAUUUUUGGAUCUUUUUUAUGGCAUGCUAAUGUUCUCUAUAUCUCUUCUUCAUGGCUUCUGUUGUUUCCUCUUUUCUUUUCCCACCUCUCCUUCUGUCUCCUAUUUUUUUUCUCCUUGUCCCCUUGUAUAUGUACAAUUUCUAUAAUCCAACUCAUAAAUCCUUGUGCUAAUUCCACUCUCAGUAACUAUUAAGAUGGAAUUCCACACGUGUCACAACAAAUAUCCACAUGUGACAAGCAAUUAGUGAUACUACUCUCUGAAUGCUUUUUGUUUUAGAAGUGUAAAUUUACAUAAAAAAUAAAGCAAAAAAAACCCAAAAAACAAAAAACAAAUGUUUGCUUAUAAAGCGUGUAGUAUUUUUUGCAUGAUAUUAAUUUUACAACCACCCAGUGGGAGAAGAGGAAAGAGAGUUCACCUUAAGCGUUUUCAGAGGGUUUUGUAAUGUUGUUAUAAAUUUCUCUAAACAAAGUUAAUAUUAAUUCUUUCUAAUAUAUAAUAAAUUUUGACUAGAAUUUGUAGAACUCUAAAUCCUUUAGUCCUAAAUUAUAUACUAUGGACUUAAUGAAGUUGUUUUAUAGCAAUGUUCUAUAGAGAUGAUCUCUAAAUUUAUUACUUGCUGAGAACAGUGAUAUGAGUGACUACAUUUAUCUUUAUGAGAAGGAAAGAAAAAAGGAGAAAAGACAUUUUGAGAAGAAAUGAAAGAGGACAGGCAUUGUGACCCAUAGAAGUUAACCUCCUCCUCAUUGAAUAUUGGGGACAUGGAGCCUAGGGCCUGAGAGUAGAUGCCAAGGCUGAAUGACUAUUUGAACCCAGAAGGUGCAGGGAGAUAACAACUCAGCUGCUGUGAAACAGAGAUUUUAUUUGCUUGGUUCCAUUAAGCAAAUCAGAAAGCUGGCCCUGUGACAGGACUGAGCUACUGACCCCAGAUGAAUGAGGUCAGCACAUGUAUUUCAGCUCUGGGAAAGUUGGGAAAUGGAAAAAGAAGCAAGUAGAUGCCAACAUUCUUACAUGUGAGGGAGAUUCCCCAUUGCUGGCUUGAAGAUGGAGAGAGUUGGUGUCCAGGACCCUAGAACAACUUCCAGGAGCUGAGAGUAACCCCUGGCCAGUAGCCAGCAUGAAAACAGGAAUCUCAAUUCUACAGCUGCAAGGAACUGAAUUUGGCCAAUGGCCUGAAUGAACUUGGAAGCACUUUCUUCCUCAGAACUUCCAGAUAAGAACUUAGCUGGUCUAACAGCUUGAAUGUGAGACUCAGAGCAGAGAACCCAUUUGAGCAACUCCGGAACUUCUAAUUUAUACAACUGUGAGAUAAUAAAUGGGUGCUGUUUUAAGCUGCUAAGUUUGUGGUAAUUUCUUAUGCAGCAAUAGAAAAUUAAUAUAGUAACAUAACAUUGAAAAUGCUUUCUUUAAGAUAUAUUGGUGUCCAUAAAUUAGCUUCAAACUGGUUCUUCCUUUUACCAACUGUUUGAUCUUGGGUAAAUUAAGGAAUCCUUCUGAAUCUGUCCUGUAUAGACAAAGGAAAUAAUGACUACUGCCUUAAGUGGUUACUAUAUGAAGUGAAUUAAUGUUAAUGAAAAUUCCUAUCAUAAGAACUUACGAACACAAACAAGAAAACAGACGAUGGAGUCUACUUGAGGGUGGAAGGUGGGAGGAAGGAGAGGAGCAGAAAAGAUAACUAUUGGGAACUGGGCUUAAUUUCUGGGUGAUGAAAUAAUCUGUACCACAAACCCUUGUGACAUGAGUUUACCUAUUUAACAAAACUUCACAUGUACCCCUGAACCUAAAAUAAAGUAAAAACCCCCCAGAAUUCCGAGCUGUUUUCUUGGCAUGUGGUAGACACUCAUAGAAGGUUUAUUCUUUCCUUCUUUCCCCUCCUCUUCCCACAGGCUAUUCAUGUUGUCUAAAAGUCUUCAAAGUAUGCUUAGGGUUUCUCUAGGCGGGUCAUUUAGACCUGUUUGAAAUGCUUGUUCCCCGGUGCCUUUGAAAACUGGCACAAGACAGGGAUGUUCUCUCUCACCACUUCUAUACAACAUAGUGUUGGAAGUU